CUUGAUUAUCUCUAUCCAUUACAGGGGAUCUCUGCUGUUACGUGACACUUCCUACGGCUCCCAUGAGCUCUCAGAAGGCGGCAAAAAGCUGAAUCGUGGCUUUGCAGGCUCUGGCUGAAAAAAAGUAGCUCGUUUGGUAGUGGCUGGUCACAGUACUGUGAGACUCAGGCACAUGCACGAGGGGACUCCAUGUUUUAUCUUUGAACGAAAACCACCGCUCCCGGUCGGGAAUAUUAUCGCUUUUUUACGAGAAAAAUGGCAUAAAAAUUGAUUUUAAACAGCGGCUGACAUGCUUCGAAGUACGGUAAUGGAAUAUUUAGAAUUUUUUUGUCACGAAAUGCGUCAUGCGCGUGACCCUUAUUUACACUUCGGAUAGUGUCUUGAACGCACGAACAAAACGCCGCUAUUUGGAUAUAACUAUGGAUUAUUUUGGACCAAACCAACAUUUGUUAUUGAAGUAGCAGUCCUGGGAGUGCAUUCUGACGAAGAACACCAAAGACAAUACCGUGUGGUGCCUGGGCUUCUUUCUGGAGUGGAUUAUAGGACAAUGACCCAACACACCUCCAGGCUGUGUAAGGGCUAUUUGACCAAGAAGGAGAGUGAUGGAGUGGUGCAUCAGAUGACCUGGCCUCCAACAUACCUCAACCAAAUUGAGAUGGUUUGGGAUGUGUCGGACCGCAAGUGCAUAGCAUAUGUGGGAACUCCUUCAAGACUUUUGGAAAAGCAUUCCAGUGAAGCCGCUCAACGACUACACCACACCAGUCAUCCAACAGACUCCCAUUCAGA
rnacentral:lncRNA from 1 species